ensembl:lncRNA
AAAAAAAAUCAAAUGAUGUAAUCUCUCUGAACCUCAGUCUUUUCAUUUUUUUACAUGGGAGUAACAAUGCUGUACUUGUGUCACAGGAAAUGGUGAAGAACAGAUGGGAAACAGACUCAAAUUGUAAAGCAUUAUUGUUUAUUUUAUUUUCUUUUUUUUUUAAUGGGAAAAGCCUUCCCACCCCCUACUCCCAAUUUGAUUUGUCCAUUUAAGGCCAUAUCUGGAUAAUACUUAUUUAUAUCCUACAAUUCAAACUCCUCCAAUUAAAAAAAAAAUCAAAAUAGUCCUCUCUACUUCAGGUGUCUGACAAGUGCUGAUUUAGAGUAUGGUGUCACAGAAUAUUUGAGAUCAGCUCUGUCCUGAAAAAUCUGGAUGGGCAGUCAACACAGUGUUUGUAUAACUUUUUCUACUCUAUUCGUCAAAAAUGUUGAGAUGAAGAAUCCCCGUUGUGGCUCAGUGGUAACAAACUCAACUAGUAACCCUCUCAGUGGGUUAAGGAUCCGGCAUUGCCAUGAGCUGUGGUAUAGGUUGCCGUUGCUGUGGCUGUGGCAUAGGCCAGCAUCUGCAGCUCUGAUUAGACCCCAUCCUGGGAACUUCCAUAUGCCAUAAAUGCUGCCCUAAAAAAAAAAAAAGUUGACAUGAACAGUAUAUAGAUGUUGAAAAUAUUAAUGUAAUUUAGCUAUCCAAAAGUACAUAUGCAAAAAUUUCUUUUUAAAAAUGCAUGUAUAGGAGUUCCCAUUGCUGCUCAGCAGAAAGGAAUCCGACUAGAAACCAUGAGGUUGUGGGUUCAAUCCUUGCUCAUGGGUUAAGGAUCCAGCGUUGCCGUGAGCUGUGGUGUAGGUCACAGAUGUGGCUCAGAUCCUGCGUUGCUGUGGCUCUGGCGUAGGCCGGUGGCUGUAGCUCUGACUAGACCCCUAGCCUGGGAACUUCCAUAUGCCUUGGGGGUGUGGCCCUAAAAAGGCGAAAGACAAAUAAAAAAUAAAAAAUUAAAAAAUUAAAAAAGCAUGUAUAUGAAAUCUGCAACAUAACUACUCUGAAGGUGCUCAUAUACAUUUACAGUUUUCUGUUAUAUGCAAUCUCUCAGGGACCUACACAGCUCUGCCAGUCUCUUAAAGAUGCAGUGGUUGGAAGGCAUCCUCAGGAGAUGCAUCCAGGCAUCUGCUCAGGAUUUAGUAAAAGGCCUGGUCCACCCAGAUUAUAUGUAUUGGCUCUUUACUUUUGAUGCUUGAUUACUGCGCGCGUGUGUUUGUGUGUGUGUGUGUGUGUGUGUGUGUAGAAGGAAGCAGUGAGGCUAAGUGAGAUGGUAAUCCAUUCGUAGUCAGGAACAACCCACACAAAUAAAAAAAAGGGUAUAUAUGUGUAAGUGAGAAAGUGAAAGAUGUGUUGGUUCUAAUGACAAAUUACAUUUUAUAGCAAAAGGGACAACCUAAUACUAGAUGCUAGGUACGGUAUUAGGUGCUUUAGAUAUAGUAUUUUUCUGCAGUUUUCAAAGCGUCUUCCCAUAUUAUUAGCUUUUUGUGGAGCUUUUGCCUCAGUUUCUUAGGACUUAGGAAGCUAAAGAUACAAAGGUCUAGAAACAAUACACAAUGAUAUAUACAAAAGACUUAUUCAGAUUUCCAGCAGGACCAUCUGCAGACACAUCAGUCAGAAGCUGGCUUUUAUAUUACCAAUUACAUCAUCAACAUAUCCUGUUUCAUGAUUCAUCGACUAGAGCCUUUGGAUUCCUGAGUCUGAGACCUUUUCCCUUGGGGCCAGAGAGGGUACAGCUGUAGCAAGAUCUCCAGGGUAUAACCUGAGAAGCUAGAAUCAAGGACUCCUCAUGAGAGAGCUACAAAUUUUUAUGACAGAGAUUGGGAAGAGGGGCAGCUUACUAAGGGGUCCACACUUCUGGUCCACUCCUUUUAUUCCUCUGGUAAGUGACUGAACCAUGUCAUAUAAAAACAGUCCCUAGGCUCCCAAGGUAUUUCAUGACAACCCUGGGGCAGGUGUUCCUCCCCUUGUUAUACAUAAGGAAACUAUGACAUAAGAGAGAUUAAGUGACUUGCCCAAUUCCAAAUGACUAGUAAAGAGAACUUAGACUAGAACUUGGAUUUACAAAUCUACCAAGAUUUUUGUCCCUGUAAUGCACUGCUUCUCGAUUAUAACCAUGUCAGACAAAUAACAAUUUGAAUAGGAAAGCACUCAGGGUUCUUGUUUGUUUGUUUGUUGUUGUUGUUGUUUUUGUUUUAGGGCUUCAUCUGCAGAACAUGGAGGUUCCCAGGCUAGGGGUUCAUUUGGAGCUGCAGCUAUCGGCCUACACCACAGCCUCAGCAUUGUAGGAUCCGAGCGGUGUCUGUGACCUACACCACAGAUCAUGGUAAUGCUGGAUCCUUAGCCCACUGAGAGAGGUCAAGAAUCGAACGCACAUCCUCAUGGGUACUAGUCAGAUUCAUUUCCACUGAGCCAAGAUGGGAACUGCCUCCUUUUUUCCAUUCUCCUCUGUGUCUUCCUUUAUAUUCAUUCAGUCAUUUAUUUCACUAGUCAUAUUUUUCAUUCAUCAAACUUAGAACUAGCACCUACUAUUAGAAGAAAGACCCCAGUUCAGAUGGAGGGCCUUGGAGCCAGACUGCGAGGUGUGAAUCAUAGCCCUACUUCUCACUAGCUAUGUGAGCGAGUUGAAAGCCCUAAACAACUUUCUUUACCUCACUGUGCCUUGGUUUUCUCAGCAGCACAUUGAGGACAAUAAUAGUACUUACCUUGGUGUUAGUAUGCAUAUUAAAUGAAUUAGUUCAGGAAAAACUCGCAGAAUAUGUCUAGUGCGUGGCAAAACAAUAAAUGUAGCCUGGUGUAUUAGUUAGGGUUUCCCAGAGAAACAUAACAACUAAAAUCUAUAUAAAGAGAUCAAGUGAUUAUGGAGGUGAGACGUCCCCAGAUGUGCAGUGGGCAAGCUGGAGACCGAGGAAAGCCUAGUUCAAGCCCAAGAGCUGACAACUCAAGAGCCUAUGUUUCCAUUUGAGUCUGAAGGCAGGAAAAGACUGGAGUCUCAACUCAAACAGCCAGAGGUGUUCCCUAUUACUCAAGAGAGGGUUGGUCUUUUUGUUCUAUUCAGGCCUUCAGCUGAUUGGAUGAUAGCCACCCACAUUUGAGAGAGCAAUCAGCUUUACUUAGUCUACUGACUUAAAUGUUAAUUUCAUCUAAAAACACCCUCACAGACCUGCCCAGAAUAAUAUUUUGCCAAAUAUCCGGGUACCUGUGACCCAGUCAAGGUGACAUGUAAAAUUAACCAUCAUACCUGAUAUUUUAUUUUACUGUGUCAAGUCCUAUGCUAGGCACUGGUGAAACAGGGUGGUUAAGAUAUGGUCUUAAACCUCUGUGGACAGUGGACAGUGGACAGUCUACACCCAACUCCAUUAAUAGCCAUGUGGUUGCCAGUGCUAAAAUGAGUGGAUUGCAUCUAUGAUUCAGCUGGAAUAUCUCUUACCAGAUGUCUCUCUGGUUGCUCGUUGCUGGGCUAAUGGCUUAGAAGCUUCCUUGCCUAUUAACUUUCACCAUUUGGGUUUUCUUAGUGCCUCACCUAUUUCUUUUUUCUGUUUAACCUCAAACCAUAUCCUUACUUAGGCUCACAAUGACUAGUUCUUCCUCCCUUCUGAUGCUUGUUACUGGCAUAGUGUUUCUAGGAGAAAAAAGGAUUGUCUUUUUAUUGAAGUUCCUACUUUCAUAUUGAAGAAAUUUCGUUAAUCUGUCUUACUCAGGUUGGGAACUUAAUUAGGCUUUUAGGCUCAAAAGUUUGGUAACUAUGAACCAAAAGGUUCUUUUUGUUUUGAGGGGGUCACACCCAUGCUUCGUGGAACUUCCAAGGCUGGGGAUCAAACCAGCACCACAGCAGCGACCCAAGCCGCUGCAGUGACAGAGCAGAAUCCUUAACCAGCUGCUCCACAAGAGAAUUCCCGAAAGGUUCUUUUUAGAUUCUGAGAGGUCUUGUUUCUUUCUGUAGUGCUACCAGUAUCUUACUUUGUGACCCUGAGCAACUUUGCUCUCUGAGUUUCAAUUUUGUCUUUCAGCAGCAGAGACAUUUGACAGAAGA